UACGUAGGGACCAAGCGUUGUUCGGAUUUACUGGGCGUAAAGGGCGCGUAGGCGGCGCGGUAAGUCACUUGUGAAAUCUCUGAGCUUAACUCAGAACGGCCAAGUGAUACUGCAGUGCUAGAGUGUGGAAGGGGCAAUCGGAAUUCUUGGUGUAGCGGUGAAAUGCGUAGAUAUCAAGAGGAACACCGGUGGCGAAGGCGGUUCUCUGGGCAUGUCCUGACGCUGAGGAGCGAAAGUGUGGGGAGCGAACAGG
rnacentral:rRNA from 1 species